UACGUAGGGUGCAAGCGUUAUCCGGAAUUAUUGGGCGUAAAGAGCUCGUAGGCGGUUUGUCGCGUCUGCUGUGAAAACCCGAGGCUCAACCUCGGGCCUGCAGUGGGGUACGGGCAGACUAGAGUGCGGUAGGGGAGAUUGGAAUUCCUGGUGUAGCGGUGGAAUGCGCAGAUAUCAGGAGGAACACCGAUGGCGAAGGCAGAUCUCUGGGCCGUAACUGACGCUGAGGAGCGAAAGCAUGGGGAGCGAACAGG
rnacentral:rRNA from 1 species